ACUAUUCAUGGAUAAGACGGCACUGAGAGAGUCCUAGCACGUGGUGGGGGGUAGGGGAGGCGGAGACACCCCUGUGCCAAGGAGAGGAAGACAGACCACCCUGGAAGAAUUGAAGUGUGAGGCUGACACGGAUGCAGGAAACCACUCUGGUAUCAGUUUGUUUUUACAGCUUAGAAAGAUAAGAUGAUGAACUCAAAUGGGUCAAAAUGCCCGAAAACAUGUCUUCAUAUUGGAACCCUGUGUGCCGAGAGCAUCAUUAGGAUUGAAUAAUGGACAAUGAAGGGACUGCCAGCCUCGAGUCUGAGGGCGAAAGUGUAUGCAUAAUGCUGCUUUGUUUACACAGAUGUUCCUUGCAAGACAUUUCACAUAAUAAAAUAAGUUGCGACAUUUA